GCCGGGGUGGCGGAAGUGGCAGACGCAACGGACUUAAAAUCCGUUGGGACUUGUGUCCCGUGUGGGUUCGAGUCCCACCCCCGGCA
rnacentral:tRNA from 1 species